rnacentral:tRNA from 2 species
CGAAAUCGGUAGACGCUACGGACUUAAAAUCCGUCGACUUUAGAGAUCGUGAGGGUUCAAAUCCCUCUAUCCCCA